AUACGGAGGGUGCAAGCGUUGUUCGGAAUUACUGGGCGUAAAGCGCGCGUAGGCGGUCUGUUAUGUCAGAUGUGAAAGUCCUCGGCUCAACCGGGGAAGUGCAUUUGAAACUGGCAGACUUGAGUACUGGAGGGGGUGGUGGAAUUCCCGGUGUAGAGGUGAAAUUCGUAGAUAUCGGGAGGAAUACCGGUGGCGAAGGCGACCACAUGGCCAGAUACUGACGCUGAGGUGCGAAAGCGUGGGGAGCAAACAGGAUUAGAAACCCCAGUAGUCC
rnacentral:rRNA from 1 species